AUACCCGGGUAGUCCCAGCCGUAAACGAUGCGCGUUAGGUGUAUCGAUGACCACGAGUCAUCGAGGUGCCGAAGAGAAAUCGUGAAACGUGCCGCCUGGGAAGUACGGUCGCAAGGCUGAAACUUAAAGGAAUUGGCGGGGGAGCACCACAACAGGUAGAGCCUGCGGUUUAAUCGGACUCAACGCCGGAAAUCUCACCGGAUAAGACAGCUGAAUGAUAGUCGGGCUGAAGACUCUACUUGACUAGCUGAGAGGAGGUGCAUGGCCGUCGUCAGUUCGUACUGUGAAGCAUCCUAUUAAGUCAGGCAACGAGCGAGACCCACGCCAACAGUUGCCAGCUCGUCCUCCGGGAUGGUGGGGACACUGUUGGGACCGCCUCUGCUAAAGAGGAGGAAGGAAUGGGCAACGGUAGGUCAGCAUGCCCCGAAUUAUCCGGGCUACACGCGGGCUACAAUGGGUGGGACAAUGGGUAUCGACACCGAAAGGUGAAGGCAAUCUCCUAAACCCAUCCUUAGUUCGGAUUGUGGGCUGCAGCUCGCCCACAUGAAGCUGGAAUCUGUAGUAAUCGU
rnacentral:rRNA from 1 species